GACGAACGCUGGCGGCGUGCUUAACACAUGCAAGUCGAACGGAAAGGCCCCCUUGUGGGGUGCUCGAGUGGCGAACGGGUGAGUAACACGUGAGUAACCUACCCUUGACUUUGGGAUAACUUCAGGAAACUGGGGCUAAUACCGGAUAGGAGCUCCUGCUGCAUGUUGGGGGUUGGAAAGUUUCGGCGGUUGGGGAUGGACUCGCGGCUUAUCAGCUUGUUGGUGGGGUAGUGGCUCACCAAGGCUUUGACGGGUAGCCGGCCUGAGAGGGUGACCGGCCACAUUGGGACUGAGAUACGGCCCAGACUCCUACGGGAGGCAGCAGUGGGGAAUAUUGCACAAUGGGCGGAAGCCUGAUGCAGCAACGCCGCGUGCGGGAUGACGGCCUUCGGGUUGUAAACCGCUUUCGCCUGUGACGAAGCGUGAGUGACGGUAAUGGGUAAAGAAGCACCGGCUAACUACGUG
rnacentral:rRNA from 1 species